UCAUCGUAGGGUUAGUCGGGUCCUAAGCUGAGUCCGAAAGGGGUAAGCGAUGGAAAAUCGGUUAAUAUUCCGGUACCAACUAUAGAGCGUGAUGGGAGGACGCAUAGGGCUAUGUGAGGUCACUGAUGGAAUAGUGGCUCGAAGGGUGUAGGCUGGGAGAGAAAGGAAAAUCCACUCUCCUAUAGCUGAGAUCUGACAGGCUGUGGAGGCUUUUAGGAGCCAAAACAGAAUCACAGAUGCCGAAGUGCCAAGAAAAGUCUCUAAGCAUAUCUAUAGUUGCCCGUACCGUAAACCGACACAGGUGGGUGAGAUGAGAAUUCUAAGGCGCGUGGAAGAACCAUUGUUAAGGAACUCUGCAAACUAGCACCGUAUCUUCGGUAUAAGGUGUGCCUACUUAGGUGAAGCUCCUAGCGAGUGGAGCCUGAGAGGUUGCAACAAAGAGUCCCUCCCGACUGUUUAC
rnacentral:rRNA from 1 species